UACGGUGAGGCAGCAGUGGGGAAUACUCCACAAUGGGGGAAACCCUGAUGGAGCGACGCCGCGUGAGUGAAGAAGGGCUUCGGAUUGUAAACUUUAGUGAGCAGGGACGAUAGUGACGGUACCUGCAUAGCAAGCCACGGCUAACUACGUGCCAGCAGCCGCGGUAAU
rnacentral:rRNA from 1 species